rnacentral:rRNA from 1 species
CCCUUAGAUGUUCUGGGCCGCACGCGCGCUACACUGACGAAUGCAACGAGCUUAUAACCUUGGCCGAAAGGUCUGGGCAAUCUUUGAACGCUGGUCGUGAUGGGGAUAGACUUUUGCAAUUUUUGGUCUUCAACGAGGAAUUCCUAGUAAACGCAAGUCAUCAACUUGCAUUGAUUACGUCCCUGCCCUUUGUACACACCGCCCGUCGCACCUACCGAUUGAAUGGUCCGGUGAAGCCUCCGGAUUGGCGCGCACCUCGGUGCCGCCGAGAAGUUGGCUAAACCUUACCAUUUAGAGGAAGGUGAAGUCGUAACA